rnacentral:rRNA from 1 species
GGGCACCCACAAGAACGCGUGGAGCAUGUGGCUUAAUUUGACUCAACGCGGGAAMUCUUACCGGGUCCGGACACACUGAGGAUUGACAGGCAAUAUUAAUACUUUGCUUCGGCAUUGUAUUAUGUUAAAUAUGCUAGUCCUUUCAUGAUUAUGUGAUAGGUGGUGCAUGGCCGUUCUUAGUUCGUGGAGUGAUCUGUCUGCUUAAUUGCGUUUCACUAAGGGCCUAUAAAUUUACGUAUGUUGUAUCGCACUUUGACCCCUUUCUUUAAUUAGAAAGCGCGUGUCUUAGUUUCGCUUUGCUCAUACAAUUAGGUCCUGAAAGCAACGAACGUGACCGCAACCUCUUGUUGCCUUUAUACCAAACAUGUUUAUUCAUUUUUUAAUGUUCAUUCAUGAAAAAAGGCUUUUUAAACUAGAGGGACCGCUGUUACUUUCUUAAACCAGAGGAAGGUUGCGGCAAUAACAGGUCUGUGAUGCCCUUAGAUGUUCCGGGCUGCACACGUGCUACAAUGAUUAUUGCAGUGAGCAUCUCAUUUUUACACACCGCAUGCGCGAGUCCAUUUAUUCACCUUCGGGUGUUUUAAAUGUGUACCUCUGCGCGCGGUAAAGCCUGCUUCGAAAGUAAGUGGGUAAUCAAUUAGAAGUAAUGAUUUCCUUUUUUAGCACACAUAUAUACGGCGUCUAUGCCCGGGUUACCUUGUUGUAGCUUUUGUGUGUAUAGAUGUUUUUUCCGUAUGUGCGAUUGUCAAUUCAUGGUGGGGACAGACCAUUGUUAAUUGUUGGUCUCGGUCUUAACUAGGAAUGCCUUGUACGGGUCUUUGGUUCAACAAACCACCCGGAAUACGUCCCUGCCCUUUGUACACACCGCCCGUCGCUCUUACCGAUGGACUUCUCUGUGAGUUUGAGGGACUGGGAACGCAGGAAUUUAUUUCUGCACACCUAUGGAAACUUAAACGAACAGUGUGGUCUAAAGGAAAGAGAAGUCGUAACAAGGCAUA